CAGGCCUCUCUCUCUCAUUACUCCCCCUCAGGAGCCCCUAACCAGAUCCCCCAGCAGGCCUCUCUCUCUCAUUACUCCCCCUCAGGAGCCCCUAACCAGAUCCCCCAGCAGGCCUCUCUCUCUCGUUACUCCCCCUCAGGAGCCCCUAACCAGAUCCCCCAGCAGGCCUCUCUCUCGUUACUCCCCCUCAGGAGCCCCUAACCAGAUCCCCCAGCAGGCCUCUCUCUCGUUACUCCCCCUCAGGAGCCCCUAACCAGAUCCCCCAGCAGGCCUCUCUCUCUUCACUCCACCUCUGUUCCCCCCUCAGGGGCCCCUAACCAGAUCCCCCAGCAGGCCUCUCUCUCGUUACUCCCCCUCAGGAGCCCCUAACCAGAUCCCCCAGCAGGCCUCUCUCGUUACUCCCCCUCAGGGGCCCCUAACCAGAUCCCCCAGCAUGCCUCUCUCUCUUCACU
ensembl:lncRNA